GAUGAGGCGCCUUUAGCUUGGUUCGCCGGACGGCCAUCGUUUCUAACAACUGUCGACUACUUUUUGUUACGGUGAUUCAGCACUUGUAUCCAAGGGCCAUAAAAGUCUUGGUCCUUGGUGUUGAGGUCCGACUCCCCCACCCUACUCGUUAGAGUUUGCGCUGUUGUUUCUUCCAUGGCAAUGAUCGGCUAAUUCACUGUUUGUUCCUUUGGG
rnacentral:lncRNA from 1 species